rnacentral:rRNA from 1 species
AGAGUUUGAUCAUGGCUCAGAUUGAACGCUGGCGGCAGGCCUAACACAUGCAAGUCGAGCGGUAGCACAGAGAGCUUGCUCUCGGGUGACGAGCGGCGGACGGGUGAGUAAUGUCUGGGAAACUGCCUGAUGGAGGGGGAUAACUACUGGAAACGGUAGCUAAUACCGCAUAACGUCGCAAGACCAAAGUGGGGGACCUUCGGGCCUCAUGCCAUCAGAUGUGCCCAGAUGGGAUUAGCUAGUAGGUGGGGUAACGGCUCACCUAGGCGACGAUCCCUAGCUGGUCUGAGAGGAUGACCAGCCACACUGGAACUGAGACACGGUCCAGACUCCUACGGGAGGCAGCAGUGGGGAAUAUUGCACAAUGGGCGCAAGCCUGAUGCAGCCAUGCCGCGUGUGUGAAGAAGGCCUUCGGGUUGUAAAGCACUUUCAGCGGGGAGGAAGGCGAUAAGGUUAAUAACCUCAUCGAUUGACGUUACCCGCAGAAGAAGCACCGGCUAACUCCGUGCCAGCAGCCGCGGUAAUACGGAGGGUGCAAGCGUUAAUCGGAAUUACUGGGCGUAAAGCGCACGCAGGCGGUCUGUCAAGUCGGAUGUGAAAUCCCCGGGCUUAACCUGGGAACUGCAUUCGAAACUGGCAGGCUAGAGUCUUGUAGAGGGGGGUAGAAUUCCAGGUGUAGCGGUGAAAUGCGUAGAGAUCUGGAGGAAUACCGGUGGCGAAGGCGGCCCCCUGGACAAAGACUGACGCUCAGGUGCGAAAGCGUGGGGAGCAAACAGGAUUAGAUACCCUGGUAGUCCACGCCGUAAACGAUGUCGAUUUGGAGGUUGUGCCCUUGAGGCGUGGCUUCCGGAGCUAACGCGUUAAAUCGACCGCCUGGGGAGUACGGCCGCAAGGUUAAAACUCAAAUGAAUUGACGGGGGCCCGCACAAGCGGUGGAGCAUGUGGUUUAAUUCGAUGCAACGCGAAGAACCUUACCUGGUCUUGACAUCCACAGAACUUUCCAGAGAUGGAUUGGUGCCUUCGGGAACUGUGAGACAGGUGCUGCAUGGCUGUCGUCAGCUCGUGUUGUGAAAUGUUGGGUUAAGUCCCGCAACGAGCGCAACCCUUAUCCUUUGUUGCCAGCGGUCCGGCCGGGAACUCAAAGGAGACUGCCAGUGAUAAACUGGAGGAAGGUGGGGAUGACGUCAAGUCAUCAUGGCCCUUACGACCAGGGCUACACACGUGCUACAAUGGAUAUACAAAGAGAAGCGACCUCGCGAGAGCAAGCGGACCUCAUAAAGUAUGUCGUAGUCCGGAUUGGAGUCUGCAACUCGACUCCAUGAAGUCGGAAUCGCUAGUAAUCGUAGAUCAGAAUGCUACGGUGAAUACGUUCCCGGGCCUUGUACACACCGCCCGUCACACCAUGGGAGUGGGUUGCAAAAGAAGUAGGUAGCUUAACCUUCGGGAGGGCGCUUACCACUUUGUGAUUCAUGACUGGGGUGAAGUCGUAACAAGGUAACCGUAGGGGAACCUGCGGUUGGAUCACCU